rnacentral:rRNA from 1 species
CCCCGGCGAGGGGAGUGAAAAAGAACCUGAAACCGUGUACGUACAAGCAGUGGGAGCACAGGUUUACCUGUGUGACUGCGUACCUUUUGUAUAAUGGGUCAGCGACUUAUAUUCUGUAGCAAGGUUAACCGUAUAGGGGAGCCGGAGGGAAACCGAGUCUUAAUUGGGCGUUAAGUUGCAGGGUAUAGACCCGAAACCCGGUGAUCUAGCCAUGGGCAGGUUGAAGGUUGGGUAACACUAACUGGAGGACCGAACCGACUAAUGUUGAAAAAUUAGCGGAUGACCUGUGGCUGGGGGUGAAAGGCCAAUCAAACCGGGAGAUAGCUGGUUCUCCCCGAAAGCUAUUUAGGUAGCGCCUCGUGAAUUCAUCUCCGGGGGUAGAGCACUGUUUCGGCUAGGGGGCCAUCCCGGCUUACCAACCCGAUGCAAACUGCGAAUACCGGAGAAUGUUAUCACGGGAGACACACGGCGGGUGCUAACGUCCGUCGUGAAGAGGGAAACAACCCAGACCGCCAGCUAAGGUCCCAAAGUCAUGGUUAAGUGGGAAACGAUGUGGGAAGGCCCAGACAGCCAGGAUGUUGGCUUAGAAGCAGCCAUCAUUUAAAGAAAGCGUAAUAGCUCACUGGUCGAGUCGGCCUGCGCGGAAGAUGUAACGGGGCUAAACCAUGCACCGAAGCUGCGGCAGCGAACGUAUCACCCAAGACAACUUUACGGAGUUGACGAUUGACGGAGCGAAGCGACGUCAAAGCGUUCAUUAAAGUCGAGUUGGCUUAGGGAUACGUUCGUUGGGUAGGGGAGCGUUCUGUAAGCCUGUGAAGGUGUGUCGUGAGGCAUGCUGGAGGUAUCAGAAGUGCGAAUGCUGACAUAAGUAACGAUAAAGCGGGUGAAAAGCCCGCUCGCCGGAAGACCAAGGGUUCCUGUCCAACGUUAAUCGGGGCAGGGUGAGUCGACCCCUAAGGCGAGGCCGAAAGGCGUAGUCGAUGGGAAACGGGUUAAUAUUCCCGUACUUGGUGUUACUGCGAAGGGGGGACGGAGAAGGCUAUGUUGGCCGGGCGACGGUUGUCCCGGUUUAAGCGUGUAGGUGUGUGUUCCAGGUAAAUCCGGUUCACUUUAACACUGAGGCGUGACGACGAGGCACUACGGUGCUGAAGCAACAAAUGCCCUGCUUCCAGGAAAAGCCUCUAAGCAUCAGGUAACAUCAAAUCGUACCCCAAACCGACACAGGUGGUCAGGUAGAGAAUACCAAGGCGCUUGAGAGAACUCGGGUGAAGGAACUAGGCAAAAUGGUGCCGUAACUUCGGGAGAAGGCACGCUGACACGUAGGUGAAGUGAUUUACUCA